rnacentral:misc_RNA from 1 species
UAUUGCCACGCCAAUUUCACCAAGUAUUUCAGUGAUGGGUUUUGGUCUGACCCUGUUCUUUCUCGGGUUUUCUCAGCUAGGAAGCCUUGUUACUUCAAUACUGGGGUAAUGGUGAUGGAUUUGGUAAGGUGGAGAGAGGGGAAUUACAGGAGGAGAAUCGAGAACUGGAUGGAGGUACAGAGGAAGAGGAGGAUUUACGAGUUGGGUUCACUGCCACCGUUUUUAUUGGUGUUCGCCGGUGACAUAGAGGCUAUUGAUCACCGGUGGAACCAGCACGGGCUCGGCGGGGAUAAUGUGAGAGGGAGCUGCCGGUCAUUGCAUCCUGGUCCAGUUAGCUUGCUCCAUUGGAGUGGGAAAGGGAAGCCUUGGGUUAGACUAGAUGGCAAGAAGCCUUGCCCUCUUGAUCAUCUGUGGGAGCCUUAUGAUCUCUACAAAGGGAACGAGAAUGCUAGAGUGAAGGAUCAUUCUCUGGGGUUUUUGAGUUCUUCUCAAUCUACAAUAAUGGGUUACUCGAGUUAUUUAUGAUUCUUUUGAUUUUGUUUUUUCAAUUUUUAGUUUACAAAUUUGAAGAAAUUCUUUCCUAGAUGUGUACAUAUAAGGAAUGGGGAUUGGAUUGGCAACUGGGGAGGAGAUUGAUGGGUUUUUAAUUUUUAUUUAAUUUCGUGAUAAAUUCAUGUGGCUACAGGAUUUUAAUUCCUUAUUUUAGGGGUUCCAUUGCUUUGGAACAUUUUUGGUGGGAUAAUGGUUUCUUUGUAUGUAAUUGAAUCAUUGGAGG